CCUUUGAGUCUAGUGGUAUGAUUCAUGCUUCGGGUUAUUGCCCCCUCUGUUGAACAGAAUUGUGUGAGGUCCCGGGUUCAAAUCCCGGAAAAGCC